UUUUUUUUUUUUUUUUUUUUUUUUUUUUAGUAGAGAUGGGGUUUUGCUAUAUUGGCCCAGGCUGGUCUCGAACUCCUGACCUCAAGUGAUCCUCCCGCCUCGGCCCCCAAAGUGCUGGGAUGAUGGGUGUGCGCCACCGUGCCUGGCCAACAACAACUAAUAUUUGUUAAGCACUAACUUUGGCCUGACACGGCACUAAUAAGCACUCGACAUAUACUACCAUUAGUUCAUUUAAUCUUCACAAUGUCCCUAGGUGACAGGGCUAUGGCUGAUGAGGAAACCAAAGAUGAGCAAGGUUUGAUAACUUCCCCAAGGGUAUAGAGAGAGACAAGAUGUGAGCCUCAGCAGCAUGACUGGCAAGCUUACACCCUAACGCCUGUGCCCUGUAGCACUGUGCCCUCGGAGGACUGGGGUGGCACAUUUCCUUCUAGAGCUGACCUCUCUAGGUCUCUAGGAGCCCUAACAUCACCUCCCACCAAGCUUUUUGCAUACUUUUCAUAAGGUUUACCUGGCAGAGGCAGACUUCUGAUUUAAUAGAGUUAUUUUGCCUAAUGUCAUCAACCCUUGCAAAACAGUUUAUCCCCGAUGCCCCUUGACCCUCAGCUUCAUUAGGUUUUUUUCUUCAACAAGUGACAGCCUUUGGUUGCCAGUCCUUAAUUUUUCAAUGUAGAGUCGAAUUCAGGCUUCUCAGAAUACGUCUCUUCAGAUCUCUUUCCUGGAGGAAGAGCUGGCCGCAGCUGCACCCUGCAUGGCGAUCCAGGUGCCAGCACCCUUGCUGGAUGGAAAUGAACAGCAAUCAUAAAGAUCACAAUUAUAAAGAGGGAAAUAUGACAGGAACACACGGGGUCCCCCUAAUGGGAGCCAAUCCAGGCAGAGGUUGAGCCCACAGUGGUUUUGAGGAAACACAGGUGUGAGUCUCAUGAAACCAGAGGUACUUUUUUUUCUGAAGGGUUUAGAAAUUUAUUUUUACAAAUUCAAUAGUUUUUUGGGGUACAGGUGGUUUUCAGUUAUAUGGAUAAGUACUUUAGUGGUGAUUUCUGAGAUUUUGGUGCACCCGUCACCCGAGCAGUGUACACUGUAUCCAAUAUGUAGCCUUUUAUCUCUCACUCCCCUCCCUCCCUUUCCCCCGAGUCCCCUAAGUCCAAUAUAUCAUUCUUAGGCCUUUGCAUCCUCACAGCUUAGCUCCCACUUAUAGGUGAGAACAUACGACAUUUAGUUUUCCAUUCUUGAAUUACUUCACUUUGAAUGAUGGCCUCCAGCUCCAUCCAUGGUGCUGCAAAGGCCAUUGUUUCGUGGCUGAGUAGUAUUCCAUGGUGUAUAUAUAUCACAUAUUCUUUAUCCACUUGUUGAUUGAUGGGCAUUUAGUUUGGUCCCAUAUUUUUGCAAUUGUGAAUUGUGCUACUGUAAACAUACACGUGCACAUAUCUUUUUCAUAUGACUUCUUUUCCUUUGGAUAGACACCAAGUAGUGGGAUUGCUGGAUUGAAGAGUAGUUCUACUUUUAGUUCUUUAAGGUAUCUCCAUACUGUUUUCCAUAGUGGUUGCACUAGUUUACAUUCCUGUCAGCAGUGUAGAAGUGUUCCAUUUUCACCACAACCAUG
rnacentral:lncRNA from 1 species